rnacentral:rRNA from 1 species
GAACGAACGCUGGCGGCAGGCCUAACACAUGCAAGUCGAGCGGAUGACGGGAGCUUGCUCCUUGAUUCAGCGGCGGACGGGUGAGUAAUGCCUAGGAAUCUGCCUGGUAGUGGGGGACAACGUUUCGAAAGGAACGCUAAUACCGCAUACGUCCUACGGGAGAAAGCAGGGGACCUUCGGGCCUUGCGCUAUCAGAUGAGCCUAGGUCGGAUUAGCUUGUUGGUGAGGUAAUGGCUCACCAAGGCGACGAUCCGUAACUGGUCUGAGAGGAUGAUCAGUCACAUCUGGAACCUGAGACACG